rnacentral:lncRNA from 1 species
UCAGCUUGUCCUCGAGAAGACUCAAAUGAAGGCUUCUUUUGAGACCGAGAUUCGACGCAUUCGUAGGAAGUACGCGCCUUCAGCUAGGUCUUAUGACAUUGUUAUUAGGGAUCCUUAGGAUGACUAGUCUCCUUCUCUCUUGUAUUUUUUCAUUUGGUUUCGGAAAUUGUACUCAGUGUAAUCCUUCCAAUUAUAUAAAUGAAAAAAGAUUUUUGGUCAUA